ACGAACGCUGGCGGCGCGCCUAACACAUGCAAGUCGAACGAGCGAGAGAGAGCUUGCUUUCUCGAGCGAGUGGCGAACGGGUGAGUAACGCGUGAGGAACCUGCCUCAAAGAGGGGGACAACAGUUGGAAACGACUGCUAAUUCCGCAUAAGCCCACGGCUCGGCAUCGAGCAGAGGGAAAAGGAGCAAUCCGCUUUGAGAUGGCCUCGCGGCCGAUUAGCUAGUUGGUGAGGUAACGGCCCACCAAGGCGACGAUCGGUAGCCGGACUGAGAGGUUGAACGGACACAUUGGGACUGAGACACGGCCCAGACUCCUACGGGAGGCAGCAGUGGGGAAUAUUGCACAAUGGGGGAAACCCUGAUGCAGCGACGCCGCGUGGAGGAAGAAGGUCUUCGGAUUGUAAACUCCUGUUGUUGAGGAAGAUAAUGACGGUACUCAACAAGGAAGUGACGGCUAACUACGUGCCAGCAGCCGCCGCGG
rnacentral:rRNA from 1 species